AGCGAACGCUGGCGGCAGGCCCAACACAUGCAAGUCGAACGAACUCUUCGGAGCUAGUGGCGGACGGGUGAGUAACACGUGGGAACGUGCCUUUUGGUUCGGAAUAACUCAGGGAAACUUGUGCUAAUACCGAAUGUGCCCUUCGGGGGAAAGAUUUAUCGCCAUUAGAGCGGCCCGCGUCUGAUUAGCUAGUUGGUGAGGUAACGGCUCACCAAGGCGACGAUCAGUAGCUGGUCUGAGAGGAUGACCAGCCACACUGGGACUGAGACACGGCCCAGACUCCUACGGGAGGCAGCAGUGGGGAAUCUUGCGCAAUGGGCGAAAGCCUGACGCAGCCAUGCCGCGUGAAUGAUGAAGGUCUUAGGAUUGUAAAAUUCUUUCACCGGGGACGAUAAUGACGGUACCCGGAGAAGAAGCCCCGGCUAACUUCGUG
rnacentral:rRNA from 1 species